CGGACGGGUGAGUAAUGUCUGGGAAACUGCCUGAUGGAGGGGGAUAACUACUGGAAACGGUAGCUAAUACCGCAUAACGUCGCAAGACCAAAGAGGGGGACCUUCGGGCCUCUUGCCAUCAGAUGUGCCCAGAUGGGAUUAGCUAGUAGGUGGGGUAACGGCUCACCUAGGCGACGAUCCCUAGCUGGUCUGAGAGGAUGACCAGCCACACUGGAACUGAGACNCGGUCCAGACUCCUACGGGAGGCAGCAUG
rnacentral:rRNA from 1 species